GACGAACGCUGGCGGCGUGCCUAAUACAUGCCAGUUGAGCGCUGAAGGUUGGUACUUGUACCAACUGGAUGAGCAGCGAACGGGUGAGUAACGCGUGGGGAAUCUGCCUUUGAGCGGGGGACAACAUUUGGAAACGAAUGCUAAUACCGCAUAAAAACUUUAAUCACAAGUUUUAAGUUUGAAAGAUGCAAUUGCAUCACUCAAAGAUGAUCCCGCGUUGUAUUAGCUAGUUGGUGAGGUAAAGGCUCACCAAGGCGAUGAUACAUAGCCGACCUGAGAGGGUGAUCGGCCACAUUGGGACUGAGACACGGCCCAAACUCCUACGGGAGGCAGCAGUAGGGAAUCUUCGGCAAUGGACGAAAGUCUGACCGAGCAACGCCGCGGGAGUGAAGAAGGGUGUCGGAUCGUAAAACUCGGUUGGUAGAGAAGAACGUUGGUGAGAGUGGAAAGCUCAUCAAGUGACGGUAACUACCCAGAAAGGGACGGCUAACUACGUG
rnacentral:rRNA from 1 species